rnacentral:rRNA from 1 species
AUUGAACGCUGGCGGCAUGCCUUACACAUGCCAGUCGAACGGCAGCACGGGUGCUUGCACCUGGUGGCGAGUGGCGAACGGGUGAGUAAUACAUCGGAACAUGUCCUGUAGUGGGGGAUAGCCCGGCGAAAGCCGGAUUAAUACCGCAUACGAUCUACGGAUGAAAGCGGGGGACCUUCGGGCCUCGCGCUAUAGGGUUGGCCGAUGGCUGAUUAGCUAGUUGGCGGGGUAAAGGCCUACCAAGGCGACGAUCAGUAGCUGGUCUGAGAGGACGACCAGCCACACUGGGACUGAGACACGGCCCAGACUCCUACGGGAGGCAGCAGUGGGGAAUUUUGGACAAUGGGCGAAAGCCUGAUCCAGCAAUGCCGCGUGUGUGAAGAAGGCCUUCGGGUUGUAAAGCACUUUUGUCCGGAAAGAAAUCCUUGGCCCUAAUACGGUCGGGGGAUGACGGUACCGGAAGAAUAAGCACCGGCUAACUACGUG